rnacentral:rRNA from 1 species
UACGGAGGGUGCUAGCGUUGUUCGGAAUUACUGGGCGUAAAGCGCACGUAGGCGGCUUUGUAAGUUAGAGGUGAAAGCCCGGGGCUCAACCCCGGAAUUGCCUUUGAGACUGCAUCGCUAGAAUUGUGGAGAGGUAAGUGGAAUUCCGAGUGUAGAGGUGAAAUUCGUAGAUAUUCGGAAGAACACCAGUGGCGAAGGCGACUUACUGGACACAUAUUGACGCUGAGGUGCGAAAGCGUGGGGAGCAAACAGG